rnacentral:tRNA from 1 species
GGGAUUGUGGCUUAGUGGUAGAGUGUUUGCCUUGCAUACACAAAGCCCUGGGUUCGAUUCCUCAAUACCA